GUAAAAGUGGAGGGAAGCUAGACAUAGCUUCAUGUCCUGGGUCUUUGCCAUUCAUCUUCCAUCAGUGCUAAAGGAAGCUGCACAGCUAAGGCUGCAGGCACAAUGCCCACACUUUGGCUUUCAUUCUAUGAAAUGAAAUCUGACAUUCUUCCUAACCAAGAUACUGGUUUUUUUUUUUUAAAUCAAGCAGACUGUGUUGCUUUUGAACACCUGGUUAUGACUGGGCAUUUUUCUCAAGAGAUGCAUUUUCAGUGGGAAAUUCCAUUUGAUCUUCACAGUCUACUGUUUUGCUAGAACUGAUUCUCUUCUCUCUCAAAUGAGUCCAGUACAGAAGAAAACUAUAUUGAAGUCAGCAGAGUGUAGGCAAUAAAAGAAUCGGUCCUUAAAAUCUGCAAAGGCCACAGAGGUUCUUGAUUUUUCCAUUGCUUCAGGAAUAGAAAUUUUGCUUUUUCCUUUUCAGCCAUGAAAAUCCUGUUAUUGCAGAACAAGCUUUCCUUUUUUUCUCACCUUCCAAAACAAAAAUGCAUCCCAUAAUUAACAGGAUUAGACGCUAAAGUCCUAACAGCCAGCUACCAUUACAAGAAGGCAAUCAAGACAAGCUGGAAAUGCUUAUAGAAAAGGUGAGUCUUCAAACAGAAUUCCUGGAAAAAAAAAGAGAGGUGAAGCAGUGGAAGAGUAGCAUCAAUGAUUCCCAGCUUUUGGAAAGAGAGUUUUGAGUGAGUGUGACCAUAACUGGGAUACUGCCUUCUCAUAGAAACCUGUGUACCUCAGACUGGAUGUUCAGAACCAGUGGCCACAGUAGCUAGCAAAAUAAUUUGUGAUCAAAAUAGCUCAAUCGGGACUGAAACAGAAAUGUAACGUAAGCCCCUGGUUUCCUUCUUUCAUAUUAGUUCCUCUUGGGAGAAAUACAGUAAGUAGCAUAGUAGGAUUAAGGCACCAAUACAGGAAAACUGAUACCUGAGCCCAAAUAUCUCUCUGUCUGCAGCAACUUGGAUUUCAGUAUGAUGAUGCAAAUCAUAACCACCCUUCGCUGCCAAGGGACUUUGGAAAUAACAGAUUUCCAGGGCAAAAUAUAAAUGACCUUCAUCUCUGCACAGCAUAUCAGACUACUCUCUUUUCCCCAGCUUAGGACCCUACCCUUAUGCAAUAUUAUCAUACACAUCCCAGAAUCCAUACACUGGUGGAUGAGCCUAUGCUUGUCUUAAGGUGAACUUGAGUUUGUCAGACCAGGCAGAGCUGUGGUACAAUGGCUUAAUUAAUUCCUGGGAAAAUGCAAGGAAUGUCCUGAGGAACUCUGAAAACAUGAUUGACAGGUUUGUGUAGAAAAGCUUGGAGUGUAAAAGCAAAAGAGGAUGGGAGAACUAACAGGAGCAGUAGGCAGAAGAUGGUGCUGUGACUCUCCAAGAAGCCAAAAGCCAAGAACAACCAAUCCUCUGAAGCACUCAGAAAAAACCACCCCAAAACCACAGAGCAUGUUUGGCAAACACUGAAACAAAAAUGUCACCAUCUUGCCAAGUUGGCAGAGAGAGGCAUGAUGUGUGAUCAUUGUAAUGAACCCUGGCUAACACUAGUGCGUCCCUAGCAGAGCCUGGUAAGGGAGGCUGGGCUGAAACGAUCCAGGGUGCCUCCAGAUCAUCGCAAGGUAUCUGUCAAAGUCAUAAGAAACCUUCCUCUCACAGAUGAGGGGCAGAGAGAGGGAAACCUUUCAUUUUUUAUUGUAUUUUUUCACUGUAUUUUGUUUCUCUGGAAAGUAAGACAACUAAGUCAGAGUACAGUCUAAUGGAAUUAGUCACAGUUGCUUCUGAAGUCCAGAAACUUGAGGUUCCUGAGCUCUCUAAUGCUUUUUUUUCCUAUCUGUAAGUAUGUAAAAUAAAAUGGAAAACUCUAA